rnacentral:rRNA from 1 species
UACGUAGGGUGCAAGCGUUGUCCGGAAUUAUUGGGCGUAAAGAGCUCGUAGGCGGUCUGUCGCGUCGAAUGUGAAAACCCGGGGCUCAACCCCGGGCCUGCAUUCGAUACGGGCAGACUAGAGUUCGGUAGGGGAGUCUGGAAUUCCUGGUGUAGCGGUGAAAUGCGCAGAUAUCGGGAGGAACACCAGUGGCGAAGGCGACUUCCUGGCCUGUUCUUGACGCUGAGGCGCGAAAGCUAGGGGAGCAAACGGG